rnacentral:rRNA from 1 species
AAAGCCUGAUGCAGCAACGCCGCGUGAAGGAAGAAGGCUUUCGAUCGUAAACUUCUGUCCAAAGGGAAGAAUAAUGACGGUACCUUUGAAGAAAGCCCCGGCUAACUACGUGCCAGCAGCCGCGGUAAUACGUAGGGGGCGAGCGUUAUCCGGAAUUACUGGGCGUAAAGAGUAUGUAGGUGGUUAAGUAAGCGUAGGGUUUAAGGCGACAGCCCAACUGUCGUAUGCCCCGCGAACUGUUUAACUUGAGUACAGGAGGGGAAGGCGGAAUUCCUAGUGUAGCGGUGAAAUGCGUAGAUAUUAGGAGGAACACCAGUGGCGAAGGCGGCCUUCUGGACUGUAACUGACACUGAGAUACGAAAGCGUGGGUAGCAAACAGGAUUAGAUACCCUGGUAGUCCACGCCGUAAACGAUGAGCACUAGGUGUCGGGCUCGCAAGAGUUCGGUGCCGGAGCAAACGCAUUAAGUGCUCCGCCUGGGGGAGUACGCACGCAGUGUGAAACUCAAAG